GACGAACGCUGGCGGCGUGCUUAACACAUGCAAGUCGAGCGGAAAGGCCACUUCGGUGGUACUCGAGCGGCGAACGGGUGAGUAACACGUGAGUAAUCUGCCCCUGGCUUUGGGAUAGCCACCGGAAACGGUGAUUAAUACCGGAUACGACCACUUCUCGCAUGGGAUGGUGGUGGAAAGUUUUUUCGGCCAGGGAUGUGCUCGCGGCCUAUCAGCUUGAUGGUGAGGUAAUGGCUCACCAUGGCUUCGACGGGUAGCCGGCCUGAGAGGGUGACCGGUCACACUGGGACUGAGACACGGCCCAGACUCCUACGGGAGGCAGCAGUGGGGAAUAUUGGACAAUGGGCGGAAGCCUGAUCCAGCAACGCCGCGUGAGGGAUGACGGCCUUCGGGUUGUAAACCUCUUUCAGCAGGGACGAAGCGCAAGUGACGGUACCUGCAGAAGAAGCACCGGCCAACUACGUGCCAGCCGCCGCAGUAAAAC
rnacentral:rRNA from 1 species